rnacentral:rRNA from 1 species
AUUGAACGCUAGCGGGAUGCUUUACACAUGCAAGUCGAACGAGUGGCGGACGGGUGAGUAAUAUAUCGGAACGUGCCCAGUAGCGGGGGAUAACUACUCGAAAGAGUGGCUAAUACCGCAUACUCUUGGAGCGGCCCAUAACGGUUUAGCUAGUUGGUGGGGUAAAGGCUCACCAAUGCAACUAUCCGUAGCUGGUUUGAGAGGACGACCAGAAACACUGGGACUGAGACACGGCACAGACGCCUACGGGAGGCAGCAGUGGGGAAUUUUGGACAAUGGGGGAAACCCUGAUCCAGCCAUCCCGCGUGUAUGAGAAGGCCUUCGGGUUGUAAAGUACUUUUGGCAGAGAAGCGGUAACUGCAGAAGAAGCACCGGCUAACUACGUGCCAGCCGCCGCGGUAAUAC